AGCAGCCCUAUGAGGUAGACAGAGCCAGAAUUAUCACCCCCAUUUUGUGCACAGGUAAACUGAGGCUCAGUUUUAAAAAGUA